rnacentral:rRNA from 1 species
AUGCCGACGACCAUGGCCAAGGCCGCAAGGGCAGGAGCGGCGCCUCUUCGCCAUGACGGCAGCCUUCCGGAGGAGAUUGUCGUCUGGGAGAUCCUAGUUCGCCUCGACCCCAAAUCCCUCCUCCGUUGCCGCACCGUCCGUCGGACAUGGCGCCAUGCCACCUCCACCCGUGCCUUCCUGCUUGCCCACCAUGCCCACCAGCCAGCCCUCCCCAUCGCGUUAGACGAAGAAUACAUCCUCACCGUUGACCGCCUUGCCGCCGCCCAGCUCCACACUGUCGCCCAUCUUGACAAGGCCUUCAAUCCAGAGGCUUCCUGCGAUGGCCUUCUCAUCCUCUCCAGGUGCAACAACAUGACCGACACCAUUGAUUUCUCAGUUUGUAACCUAGCCACUCGUCAAUUUGCUCCCCUUCAACAACUACAUGAACUGGGCUUGCGGUUAUUGGGGAUGUACUCGCAUGAACCUACUGGCGAGUAUCGAUUGCUACUUGAACGCCAUAGCUACAAUGAAACGCCUGAAGACCAACUUGGCUACUAUGUCUUUGCGUUGGGCUCUCACCAGUCGCCGAGGUACAUCGGGUGGCAGGAGUCAACAUCACAAUGCUUUACCUCUCUUGGUAUGCGAUAG